UACAGAGGUCCCGAGCGUUGUUCGGAUUCACUGGGCGUAAAGGGUGCGUAGGUGGUGGAGUAAGUUUGAUGUGAAAUCUCCGGGCUUAACCCGGAAACUGCAUUGAAUACUAUUUUGCUGGAGGUUUGGAGGGGGGACUGGAAUUCUCGGUGUAGCAGUGAAAUGCGUAGAUAUCGAGAGGAACACCAGUGGCGAAGGCGAGUCCCUGGACAACACCUGACACUGAGGCACGAAAGCUAGGGGGAGCAAACAGG
rnacentral:rRNA from 1 species